AAUGAGUGUGUGUGUGUGUAUGUAUAUGAUGUGUGUAUAUAGAAUGCCUAAUACACACACACACACAUAUACACAUCAUGUA
rnacentral:miRNA from 1 species